rnacentral:rRNA from 1 species
GUGUCAGCCGCCGCGGUAAUACAGGGGGGGCAAGCGUUGUUCGGAAUUACUGGGCGUAAAGGGCUCGUAGGUGGCCGACUAAGUCGGACGUGAAAUCCCUCAGCUUAACUGGGGAACUGCGUCCGAUACUGGAUGGCUUGAGUUUGGGAGAGGGAUGCGGAAUUCCAGGUGUAGCGGUGAAAUGCGUAGAUAUCUGGAGGAACACCGGUGGCGAAGGCGGCAUCCUGGACCAACACUGACACUGAGGAGCGAAAGCCAGGGGAGCAAACGGGAUUAGAAACCCGCGUAGUCC